UUAACAGAAGCCAAAAAGAGGCUAAUUAUUGUUAAUAAUAGAAUUGAGUAAUCCUGUUGUU
rnacentral:tRNA from 1 species